ACGCUGGCGGCAGGCCUAACACAUGCAAGUCGAGCGGUAGAGAGAAGCUUGCUUCUCUUGAGAGCGGCGGACGGGUGAGUAAUGCCUAGGAAUCUGCCUGGUAGUGGGGGAUAACGUUCGGAAACGGACGCUAAUACCGCAUACGUCCUACGGGAGAAAGCAGGGGACCUUCGGGCCUUGCGCUAUCAGAUGAGCCUAGGUCGGAUUAGCUAGUUGGUGGGGUAAUGGCUCACCAAGGCGACGAUCCGUAACUGGUCUGAGAGGAUGAUCAGUCACACUGGAACUGAGACACGGUCCAGACUCCUACGGGAGGCAGCAGUGGGGAAUAUUGGACAAUGGGCGAAAGCCUGAUCCAGCCAUGCCGCGUGUGUGAAGAAGGUCUUCGGAUUGUAAAGCACUUUAAGUUGGGAGGAAGGGCAGUUACCUAAUACGUGAUUGUUUUGACGUUACCGACAGAACAAGCACCGGCUAACUCUGUGCCAGCAGCCGCGGUAAUACAGAGGGUGCAAGCGUUAAUCGGAAUUACUGGGCGUAAAGCGCGCGUAGGUGGUUCGUUAAGUUGGAUGUGAAAUCCCCGGGCUCAACCUGGGAACUGCAUUCAAAACUGACGAGCUAGAGUAUGGUAGAGGGUGGUGGAAUUUCCUGUGUAGCGGUGAAAUGCGUAGAUAUAGGAAGGAACACCAGUGGCGAAGGCGACCACCUGGACUGAUACUGACACUGAGGUGCGAAAGCGUGGGGAGCAAAC
rnacentral:rRNA from 1 species